rnacentral:rRNA from 1 species
UACGGAGGGUGCGAGCGUUGUCCGGAAUCACUGGGCGUAAAGGGCGCGUAGGCGGCAUGCCAAGCGUGUGGUGAAAGCCCGGGGCUCAACCCCGGGUCGGCCGUGCGGACUGGCGUGCUCGAGCACUGUAGGGGCGGGUGGAAUUCCGGGUGUAGCGGUGGAAUGCGUAGAGAUCCGGAAGAACACCCGUGGCGAAGGCGGCUCUCUGGGACGGUACUGACGCUGAGACGCGAAAGCGUGGGGAGCGAACAGG